CCUACGGGAGGCUGCAGUCGAGAAUCUUUCACAAUGGGGGAAACCCUGAUGGUGCGACGCCGCGUGGGGGAAUGAAGGUCUUCGGAUUGUAAACCCCUGUCAUGUGGAAGCAAAUUAAAAAGAUAGUACCACAAGAGGAAGAGACGGCGAACCCUGCGCCAGCAGCCACGGUAAGACAGAGGUCUCAAUCGUGAUUCGGAAUCACUGGGCGUAAAGCGUGCGUAGGCGGUUUCGUAAGUCGAGUGGGAAAGGCGCGGGCUCAACCCGCGGACUGCACAUGAUACUGCGAGACUAGAGUAAUGGAGGGGGAAGCGGAAUUCCUGGUGUAGCAGUGAAAUGCGUAGAUAUUGAGAGGAACACCCGUGGCGAAGGCGGGUUACUGGACAGUAACUGACGCUGAGGCACGAAGGCCAGGGGAGCGAACGGGAUUAGAUACCCUUGUAGUC
rnacentral:rRNA from 1 species